AGUGAACGCAGGCGGUAGGCCUAACACAUGCAAGUCGAACGGCAGCACAGGAGAGCUUGCUCUCUGGGUGGCGAGUGGCGGACGGGUGAGGAAUACAUCGGAAUCUACUCUGUCGUGGGGGAUAACGUAGGGAAACUUACGCUAAUACCGCAUACGACCUACGGGUGAAAGCAGGGGACCUUCGGGCCUUGCGCGAUUGAAUGAGCCGAUGUCGGAUUAGCUAGUUGGCGGGGUAAACGCCCACCAAGGCGACGAUCCGUAGCUGGUCUGAGAGGAUAAUCAGCCAAGCUGGAACUGAGACACGGGCCAGACUCCUACGGGAGGCAGCAGUGGGGAAUAUUGGACAAUGGGCGCAAGCCUGAUCCAGCCAUACCGCGUGGGUGAAGAAGGCCUUCGGGUUGUAAAGCCCUUUUGUUGGGAAAGAAAUCCAGCUGGCUAAUACCCGGUUGGGAUGACGGUACCCAAAGAAUAAGCACCGGCUAACUUCGUGCCAGCCGCCGCCGUAA
rnacentral:rRNA from 1 species